UUUGCCAUGGUUUCCGCCUGNUGCAGCGACGCCGCGUGCGGGAUGACGGCCUUCGGGUUGUAAACCGCUUUCAGCAGGGAAGAAGCGAAAGUGACGGUACCUGCAGAAGAAGCGCCGGCUAACUACGUGCCAGCAGCCGCGGUAAUACGUAGGGCGCGAGCGUUAUCCGGAAUUAUUGGGCGUAAAGAGCUCGUAGGCGGUUUGCCGCGUCUGCUGUGAAAGCCCGGGGCUUAACCCCGGGUGUGCAGUGGGUACGGGCAGACUAGAGUGCAGUAGGGGAGACUGGAAUUCCUGGUGUAGCGGUGAAAUGCGCAGAUAUCAGGAGGAACACCGAUGGCGAAGGCAGGUCUCUGGGCUGUUACUGACGCUGAGGAGCGAAAGCAUGGGGAGCGAACAGGAUUAGAUACCCUGGUAGUCCAUGCCGUAAACGUUGGGCACUAGGUGUGGGGGACAUUCCACGUUUUCCGCGCCGUAGCUAACGCAUUAAGUGCCCCCGCCUGGGGAGUANCG
rnacentral:rRNA from 1 species